rnacentral:rRNA from 1 species
CGUGUAGGCGGCUCGUUAAGUCCGGUGUGAAACCUUGGGGCUCAACCCCAAGCCUGCACUGGAUACUGGCGAGCUCGAGUCCGGGAGGGGAGAGCGGAAUUCCUAGUGUAGCGGUGAAAUGCGCAGAUAUUAGGAAGAACACCGGUGGCGAAGGCGGCUCUCUGGAACGGUACUGACGCUGAGACGCGAAAGCGUGGGGAGCGAACA